rnacentral:rRNA from 1 species
UCCUACGGGGGGCAGCAGUGGGGAAUAUUGGGCAAUGGGCGCAAGCCUGACCCAGCAACGCCGCGUGAAGGAAGAAGGCUUUCGGGUUGUAAACUUCUUUUGUCAGGGACGAAGCAAGUGACGGUACCUGACGAAUAAGCCACGGCUAACUACGUGCCAGCAGCCGCGGUAAUACGUAGAUGGCAAGCGUUAUCCGGAUUUAUUGGGUGUAAAGGGUGCGUAGACGGGAAAUUAAGUUAGUUGUGAAAUCCCUCGGCUUAACUGAGGAACUGCAACUAAAACUGAUUUUCUUGAGUACUGGAGAG